rnacentral:rRNA from 1 species
AUUGAACGCUGGCGGCAGGCCUAACACAUGCAAGUCGAACGAGUGGCGGACGGGUGAGUAAUGUCUGGGAAACUGCCCGAUGGAGGGGGAUAACUACUGGAAAGGUAGCUAAUACCGCAUACUAUUGGAGCGGCCGAUAUCGGAUUAGCUAGUUGGUGGGGUAACGGCUCACCAAGGCGACGAUCCCUAGCUGGUUUGAGAGGACGACCAGCCACGAUUGGACUGAGACACGGCCCAUACGCCUACGGGAGGCAGCAGUGGGGAAAUUUGGAAAAAGGGGGAAACCCUUGACCAUGCAUCCCGGGGUUGCGAUGAAGGGCUUCGGGGUGGAAAGCACUUUUGGCAGGAAAGCGGUACCUGCAGAAUAAGCACCGGCUAACUACGUGCCAGCAGCCGCGGGAAUAC